UAAAGUGUUUUGGUGCUUAAAUGUGUUUACCGUCUCAGUCUCAGAUUCGCAAUAGUAGUAGAGCAUCUUCCUGUUAGCUGACGUAUGUCGUCAUUGGUCACGAGCUUCUGGGAGGAGCUGUUCAGAGAGGCGAAUCAGAUCUGAACCACGUUCGAAGCGUCGCCUCCGUUUGCAAGUAGUGCGGGAGAACGUCACCACCGAGGUCCGGAUGCUUAAAGUUUUUGUCGAAAAGCAGGUUUACUGGUUCAGCUGCUGCAGCCUGGACACAAACACCAGCUCCCACCUUAAAAAGCAAACAGAGGCCUGGACUACGAAGGGAGUUUAAGCCACUCUGAUUUAACUCGGGUUAUCAAGGAACGUCGGGGUUGACAGACGUCGGCUGCCUCGAUCUGCGUUAACUACAGCGAUGGUUAAGAUAUCAGUGUCUCCACUUGACGUCCACGAUCAGAGAAUCUUUGAACAAUGAAGGAAUUGUUUAGACCAGGACAGAGGCCUCCAGAAUUCCAACUUGAAGCAUUAAAUCACAGAGAGAAGAGACAGACAUGAAGAUGUUUCCAGAAGGUCUCAGAGACGCCACCAGUGCCGUCAGUUUCACAAGAACAGCUUCUGACGUCGCGUAUCGACGGUUAUCCCGUAGCGCCAGGGAGUCUAGAGCGCUUGGACAGGCGUUCACAGAACCUGUAAACCAAAGCUGGGGCUCUCGCACUUUGUCUGCCUCAGGUAAGAUUACAACUGGCAGUCCCUUUUCUUUUAGUGUUUGCAUUUGUUUGUACAGCCUCAAAAUGUACUGCCAAAGGUGAUCUUUAAGUGUCCAAGCUCAGCAGUAGUUGUCUUAUAUAGUAGUAUCAUGUCCAACAGACAGAAUCACUUCUGUCUCUAACUGACACUCCACUGAAAUCAACCCGACUCUACUGAUCUCAAAGGAUAAAACUUUUGACACUUUACUGUGACAUUGAGUAUUUUUAACUGUUUUCCAUGCCUUAGUAUUUUAUGACAUUUGUUUUUGAGUGUUUUCCAUGCGUUAUUAUACUAUGACAUUAUUUAAGUGUUGUUGGGUGUUUUUCCACUGUUUGUUAUGCCUUACUGUACUAUGAUGUUUUUUGACUGUUUUUCAUGCAUUAUUGUGUACUAUUACAGUAUUUGAGUGUUUAUUACUGUUUUUCAUGCCUUACUGUGCUUUUACAAUAUUUGAGUGUUUGUGACUGUUUUUCCAUUGUUUUUUUUGCGUGGCAUUAUCCAACUUGCCUGUCUUUUAUGUCAUUAUGCAGCC